AAAAACAAUGGAGCAUCUGAAGGGAAUUACUAUCUAUUGCAUGGUGAAUUCAUUGAACCACCCAAAUAAUCACAUUGCUUCUAAAACAGCUCUUCCAUAUACUCAUGACCAUAAAUUAGUUGUAUUGUAAUUUUAACCAAUCAAGCAAACAUAAAACAAUUACAAAAUUCAGCCAUCCAACAUAUUUUCAGUUAUUGCUUUUACAUCAACAUGAAAUUUGAUGCAUCUUCAAUUCACAUUUGCUUCUAAUCACGUAUCAAUUCAAAUUGUAUGCCAUAAACCUACGUAUUUCAGCCAAUAAAUCAGUUUGCCAAUAAUAUCGGCUGAUAUGAGCCUUUCAUGAACAUAUCGCUAUUGCCAUUAUUUUUGUAGAUAUGAAAACUUUUAUUUUACAGAAUAAACAAUGCAUAAAAACACUUUGGCUGCUGGAAAUGUUGUCAUUAUGCAGUCUGUCCAGCAGACGGUAGAACAACAGCAUGGUUUACAAAGCUGUGGAGCAUGGCUGGGACUCCCAUCACCCACUGGUCACACUGGAGGUACAAUGACCAAUUGUGAUUCAUUUUAUCAGUCUGGGUGAAUGGUUUACAGACAAGUGGUGUAGACGACGCCAGUUAGACACAAUAAAAAUUGGUCGAAGUCUAUUUUAUGCAAAUGCUGAAUGACACAACACUGACUGCCAAUCGGACUGAAAGCACAGUGAUGUACGUUGGUUUGUUCUUGGCUAUAUUUAAAAUUAUUUAUAAUAAAGUUAGUUUUUAACAAUAAGGGGUUCCUGGACUCAACGUUAAGUCCAAAUGAAUUAGCUUUAUUUUAUGUUUCUGUACCACGGAGAGUUAAACUGUAAAACAUCAAGCCUCAAUUAUAUUUUUUUGUCAUCACAGUUUGAUAAUAAAAUGUUAGGAAUCAUUGCUAUUUUUUAUAUAUUUGUCAGCAGAUAUAUCUUUUUUUUUUUUUUUUUUUAGCCCUAAGAACAGUGUCGUACCUGCCCUCCAAAAAUCCAGAUUUUGGUCAAACUCUAAUCUGUGUUUGUGUUGUUACUGUGUGACCACCACCAGAUGGCAGACCAGCUAUGUUUGUAUUCUUGUUGCAAGUUUUUUUUUCCUUUUGUGCACAGGAGUAAGCAAAGUUAGCAAAUGCUUUCACAAAGCAACAUCUUGCUUAUACGUGGGUGUUUCUACACACACAGGAUGACACCUGCAGGACUUUUGAGGAUGUUUAACAUAAAUCCUAAAUAUUACAUAAGUUUGAAAGAUUUUAAAAGAGUUUGUGCACAACAGGAACUCUUAGAAUGAACGCACUUUUUAAAAAUAGAU